rnacentral:rRNA from 1 species
CCUACGGGGGGCAGCAGUGGGGAAUAUUGCACAAUGGGCGAAAGCCUGAUGCAGCGACGCCGCGUGAGCGAAGAAGGCCUUCGGGUCGUAAAGCUAUGUCCUAAGGGAAGAAAAGGACGGUACGUUAGGAGGAAGCCCCGGCUAACUACGUGCCAGCAGCCGCGGUAAUAGGGAGGGGGCGAGCGUUAUCCGGAAUUACUGGGCGUAAAGGGUGCGUAGGCGGCCUUUUAAGUCAGAUGUGAAAGGCUACGGCUUAACCGUAGUUAGCAUUUGAAACUAGUAGGCGUGAGUGCAGGAGAGGAGAGAGGAAUUCCUAGGGGAGAGGUGAAAUGCGUAGAGAUUAGGGGGCCCACCAGAGGCGAAGGCGACCCUCUGGACUGCAACUGACGCUGAGGCAAGAUAGCGUGGGGAGCGAACAGGAUUAGAUACCCGUGUAGUC